AGCAUUCUGGACCUUUUGACGCAAAAGCCAGGAUGGGGAUGGUGAAUUAUCAUAGCGUGGAGCAGUGGACGGUGGGGGUAGCGGUGUCUGGGGUUGAGAAGACCGUGGAGAGAUACACAGAAGUGUCUCCAGCUUCCAGAACACUCUAUAUCACUACAGGUGCUCAGGCAAUGUGUCCAUCGAAUCUGAACUUCAGCCACCCUAUGGUACCCUUUACACCAUCUACCUAAAAGAUCUGUGUGUGUUCUUGGGAAUUUGACAUCAAAACCCACUUCUAAUCCAGAGUUUAUGGUGGAGAGAGGGACCCUACAGGCAGCUCAUGGUUCCUACUCUGCUGGUUCUCCAGCAGCACCCGUGUGUCCUCCAGGUCCCAGGUGAGGUGGUGACACUUCCUCUUCAGCUGCUCUGUCCGGGCCUUCAUCUCCGAGUCCAAUCUCUCCUCGCACUGUUGAAGGCGCUUGCGUAGGAAAUCGUUCUCCAUCUGAGCACAGUCCAAACGCAUCUGCCACUCUUCUGCUGUGUGACAGAGGCGGCAGCUGCCUCCAUUCAGCAGGAGAGAAUCCACAUCAUAGUGGGAACUGGACAAAGAUGUCCCGAUCCCAUCCAACCAUGAAUGCCAAGUCCCUAGGCAGUGGCAUAACCAGUGCACUGAUGCUGCCUGCCUCUCACUGGGCAGUCACUCUGAGAGUCAGCCUCAACUUGAUCAUGUAUGUGAAAGCAUGCAGAGCCCGUAUUCCUCAUGAAGAGGUAGCUGAUGGCUAUGGGUUAGUCUACUCCAUAUGGCCCAGCUCUGCUUGUUCAUCAUCUAGGACCAGCUACACUUGAAUGUGAGGAAUCUGGGGCUCAGGGUGACUUUGAAUAGCAUGGUAUGAUUCAAAUACAGAGGGGAAAUUAAAAAACCUGGACUCCACUGUCAUCUUCAUCAAAUAGAAGAGAAUGUAACACA
rnacentral:lncRNA from 1 species